ensembl:lncRNA
UAUUGAAAAGAUGGUCAGCGAGAAUGGGCUAUCUAAUUAAGGAAUUAGACACCAGGGCAUAAUCCAACACACACAAUCAACCAGAACCCAAUACAAACCCGAUACACACACCCACAUUAUCAACCAGCAUUUGAGCUGUCCUCAAAGGUAGGCUGCUUAACGCAUUAGUGGAUGAACUGCAUUCCAAUGUCCACACAAAGACAAUGCAAUAUAAAACUACAAGGAAGAACACAACCAUCUGAAUCACUUCCACGUAGCUGGGCACAUUUGGUUGGUUUUAUUGGAAGUUCAUUUUUUUCCGUCCAGGUGUCACUUCAACAAACACACAAUCAACCAGCUCAGCUGUCAUCAAUCACAUGAUGGCUGUGUGCAGACUUUUUUUUGGUUUAAAGAAAUAUCGAUUGUGAGGGACGUUACCUAAUACUUUUGUGAAGAACACAACAUAUAACACGUUGAGGAGAAGAUAAAGAAAUUAACUAGAGAGAGGGUGAAACGCAGGGCUUGUUGAAGGUGACCCACAUACAUACAUAUACGAAGCGGCUGCUGCUGUGAGCGAAAGAUAUCGAACAGCUAAUUGCUAAAAUAAGCGUAUGACCUAGAAAAUUGGCCUUAGUCGGACAUAAGGAAGAGAGUGUAGUAGCCGUAGAAGAGGAUGACGAUGCUUGAGAAGAGGCCAGCCGCACUUGGGACCACGGAGCACAUCGAGAUGGAGAUCUUCGCCUCGGAAGAGUCUCGCGCCGUGGUCUCCGUACAUGAUACCGAGGAGGGCUACUUCGGCUACUAUAGGCACCUAGAGCAUCCUCUGGUGUCCGUUUCUGAAGAGGAGUACCUAGAGGCCCAGGUCCAGAGCCCAGCUGAACAGCAAUUCAAGCUGAAGAGAGUGCUUUCUGUCGGGACAGAGGACUUGGAUGACUGCCCCCUGAUUCCAGACUUAAAGGAGGACAUGGAGAUCGAAAUGGAGGAAUUCCCUCCCUUCAACACGCCCGAGAGUGAGCAAGUUUUAAAAACAUCAGCCCUCCCUUCCUUCAAAACACUACGGUUUCCCGCCGUGGCUUCUCUCAACCAAGUCACCAAAGUCAAAUGGAGCCAAGUAGACCAUCAGAGGACUGGACUGGUAGUUAAAGACGUCAUCUGUCUACCCAGAGGACACCUCCUGGCCCAUCCCGACCGACAUGGGACUCCACGAGGCAAAGAGAAGGCGGCUUGACAUUUCUAAAAUAAUAAAAAGAUUAAUUGAAAUUCUGGUGUGUGUGUGUGUGUGUGUGUGUGUGUGUGUGUGUGUGUGUGUGUGUGUGUGUGUGUUAGUCUCUGCAAGGAUCAAAGGCGUUGUUUAUCCCUGACCCUCCUGUUGAAGGCUGGACCGGAGAGCAAGUUCUCCGAAUCUGUGGCCAUGGCCCUCUAUUAGGGCUGUAACGAUACGCGUAUCAAACCGAAAAUCGCGAUACUCAAAGCCACGAUCCUGUCUCGCGGUGUGAGAAGGCAGAAGCGCGAUACGCCCUUUCUAACUCUGCGGUCAAAUGGUCCGAUUGAAAUUUGCUAAUAAUUUGUCUAGAUAAUAGUCUGCUGACAGCGCCCCCUCCUAUCGAUGCCGUAAGUAUGCGACUGCAAUCCUCCGUGGCUACGGAGGAUCGCAUUUCUCCACAGCCGUCGA